rnacentral:rRNA from 1 species
AGAGUUUGAUCAUGGCUCAGGACGAACGCUGGCGGCGCGCCUAAUGCAUGCAAGUCGAACGAGAUCUUCGUCAACCGUAAGGUGGAUGGAGGGACAGUGGCGAACGGGUGCGUAACACGUGAGAAACCUGCCCUGGAGAUCGGGAUAGCCCGAGGAAACUCGGAUUAAUACCGAAUAUGCUCACAGGACCGCAUGGUCUGGUGAGGAAACAGUCCGCUGCUCCAGGAUGGUCUCGCGGCCUAUCAGCUUGUUGGUGAGGUAACGGCUCACCAAGGCUCCGACGGGUAGCUGGUCUGAGAGGACGAUCAGCCACACUGGGACUGAGACACGGCCCAGACUCCUACGGGAGGCAGCAGCAGGGAAUAUUGCACAAUGGGCGAAAGCCUGAUGCAGCGACGCCGCGUGCGGGAUGAAGGCCUUCGGGUUGUAAACCGCUUUCAGGAGGGACGAAAAUGACGGUACCUCCAGAAGAAGGCCCGGCCAACUACGUGCCAGCAGCCGCGGUAAUACGUAGGGGCCAAGCGUUGUCCGGAUUUAUUGGGCGUAAAGGGCUCGUAGGCGGUUUGACAAGUCGGUCGUGAAAACCCGGGGCUCAACCCCGGGACGCCGGUCGAUACUGUCAUGACUAGGGUCCGGUAGAGGUGAGCGGAAUUCUCGGUGUAGCGGUGGAAUGCGCAGAUAUCGAGAGGAACACCAGUAGCGAAGGCGGCUCACUGGGCCGGUACCGACGCUGAGGAGCGAAAGCGUGGGGAGCAAACAGGAUUAGAUACCCUAGUAGUCC